GCUCCUGUGGUGGAAUGGCAGACACAACAGACUCAAAAUCUGUUGCCUAUAAAGGGCAUGCUGGUUCAAGUCCAGUCAGGAGCA
rnacentral:tRNA from 1 species